rnacentral:lncRNA from 1 species
UAACAUAAAAAGAGAGGAAAGUUUACUAAAAAAAAUAAAAAGAGAGGAAAAUAUGGUUGCGAUAUCCAAGUUCAUUUAUGCUAUGUUUCUAUUUCUUUCUCUAAUUCUUAUUGUAAUGAAUGUUGAUGGUAAGUCAUUUACUUCUUUGAUUUGUCGUUUGUACACAAUAUUUUGUCUAGUUUUAGAAACAUUAUUUUAAUCUCUUUCUUGAUUGCAGCAUUUUCGGGAUGUAUUAGUGACUUCGAUUGUGAAAGUGCUGAGUGUUGUGCAAAUUGUGGUAUGAUAUGUCUAAAUAAUCGGUGUCAAUGUAUAAAAAUUCACUAGUUCUAUAAGUACAAGAUCAAAGAGAGUACACCAAGACCUUAUAUCGCAUCCGCAAUAAUAAUCCAUUAGUUGUUAUAAAAUUAUUAUUGUGGAACCAAAUAAAUGUAUUUUUUUUUUCUUUUCCUAAUUUCAUAAACCUUGUAGUUAUCGUUUUUGUACUCUCUAAUAAGAUGAUUGUAGUGAAAUGAAAUAUGGUCA